ACAAUGGAAAGGACCAAACCUACUCAGCUCAGCCCAUAUGUUUCAAAUGGAUCAUCAUCAAUUAUAACACUAGAAAUGGCUGAUCUCUGUGCCAAAGCAGUUGUCGUCAACCAUGAUGUUAAUAUCAAGAACACCAAGAAAUCGAAUUCUGACAAUCAGAAAAUCAGCUCGAACCAAAAUAACGAGUCAUUUUGUUGCGAGAUUUGUGGCAAGGAAUAUCGUUUGAGAAAUAGUCUUAACUCACACAUGAGAAACAAGCACUCCUUGUCGAGUCGUGGUAGGCCUAUUGGAGAAAAUAAUCCUCAGGUGGAAAAAGGAUUCUGGUGCACUCACUGCAACAAGAAAUUUGUACAUGCUAAAACGUGUGCUAAACAUGAAUCAGUUUGUGUUAAAAAGCCAAAGCCCACAACCACUUCCGCGACAAUGGUCUCUUCUAGAAAAGUUCAAAAACCCGGGAAAAUUAUAACGAUCGAUUUCUAAGCUGCCCCUUUUGCGAUUACUGGACGUACCAAUCAACUACUCUGAUGCGUCACGUUGAAAAGUUCCACACUCAGAGCUCAGUGAAAACAGCUAAAGAAACUCCGCUUUUAUGAUAUCUCAGUUACCGUCUUUUCAUGAAUUGAAAAGAUGUGCUUCUAAUCCAGAAAAUCAGAAGUUUUUAUGUUCUAUUACCACAAUUUUUCAACAAUUUUAAUUUAAUCUGCUGCUCUUCAUUUAAUGCUUCCCUUUUAUUAGCCUAUGUGUCGUGUUUGUUCGUUUAGCGAUCGGCACAAGUUUAUUUGAAUUUUUAACGUGUGUGUAACUGUGUAUCUUGAAAAAAAAGAAGUCCUAAACAAGCUUUAAAUUCAAACAUGCCCACCAGAUGACCUAGACGUCAAAUGUUGUUUAUUGCCAUUUGGUUGUUGACUGUUGAGACAAAGCGCCUCAUCUUUCCACGUGCAUGUCAUUCAGCCGGAAAGCCGUUAUAUUUCUCACUGUGUCGUCGCUCAUGUUGGUUACAUUUACGUGUUAGAUACAAAAACGACUAGCCACCGGAUUGAAUUCGUGUCCAUGUGUCUUCCACGAGAAGUUAACUUGCAGCCCCGACUGACGUAGUCUCGGCGGCUCGGCCAAUCAAAAAAAGUUGGGUGUACGCGCUUACGUAUCCACCAAGGGGCCCAACGGCGGACGUGCGUUUGAUCGAUAGGCGUUCCGUCCAUUUGAACCUAUGUGAAAUCUUGGAUCGACCCAACAGUGUCCCAUUGUCUGGAGAAAACUGUGACUGGACGAUAAACACUGUUCCUCUCAACGAUGUUCAAGAAAUAAACAAAUUAUGGAGAGCUCGGAUAACUUCGGAAGCGAACGAAAAGGGCGGCGCGGGGAGUUAGAUUAUCGCUACGACUUCCUGUUCCACUGGGCUGCAGAGUCUUGUUCCAUCACCAAGCAAGAUGUUAUUGACAGCUUGCUGCAAGAAAUCUGGGUUAGGAAUAUUCAUGAUUUCGUCUUGAAGGAUACAAAAAGGACGGUGUUGCUCUUCUACCAAGCAUUUCAAGAUCAAAACUUGAAGAGUCGAGUCGAAAAAUCCAACCCUUCCAACAACAAACUCGUUGCUCCGAAUAAAACCUUGGUUGUCGUGAGUGACGAGAGGAAAUAUCCUCUAGAUGGAAUAGCAGUCUAUUACUUCAAACUCAACGUCAAGAAAAUGUUGACCGAAGAUAACGUUCACCGCGAUUUGAUGGUCGGGAUGUGUGACGCCAUGGAGGAGGAAUUACUUUCAAAUUUUAUUCAGCUCCUCCAUCACAUUUACCGGCCCGCUUUGGAAAGUUUGCUCUUCUUCGCCGACGAGGGUCCCGAUAAAACCCGCGUUUACGAGGAGGUCCUAAUGGCUAUCCAGUCGUUGUAUUCGUCACUUAAAGUCUCUGAGAAUAUCCUGAAACACGACAACACUCUGUUGGCCCAACGGCAAGUGGAUAACCUGGAUCUACCGAAUGAAUCCAAGAAACGUGCAGACUUUAUUCGCCAUCCGGAUACAGUGGCAAAAGCGGAGAAGAUUGCUACCGAUUGGCUUUCCAUGAUCGAGAGGGAAAACUGUGAAUCCGAGAUGCUGCGCCGCGAUUGCGACGACGACAGUCCGCGUGACGAGAUCGAGUACUGGAAAACUCGCAGCACCCGCUUGAAUUUGAUCCAGCAACAGUUUAACAGCCCACAAGUGGCUCUGGUCGUUCAGUGUCUCAACGUGAAUCGUUCCAAACUCAUGAAACGUUGGGUAGAAGCACUUAGGAAAUUGACGCACUGCUGUCACGAAGCUAAUAACAAUACUCUUUAUUUGAGCGAUUUCGAAAAUCACUGCAAAACACUUUACGUUUGGGAUCCGAUUCGUCUUUUGCCCACAAUCAAUCAACUUUUGAGCACAGUUCGACUUAUUUGCUGCGUGAGUCUUUACUACAAUACUUCAGAGCGAAUAACUUCACUUCUAGUCAAGAUUACCAAUGAACUGAUUCGUUCGUGUCGGAGGCAUAUCACUAGUCACGGUAGGGAAACUGUUUGGUCACGACCAGCGUCGGUUGUCAAGCCUUUACUGCAGGAUUGUUUAAAUCUACACACUGCCUACAGGAGUGCUUAUGCGAACAUGAAACAAGACUUGGAAUCUUAUCAGAAAAGCGUCCAGCAAUCUCAGCAAAAUCAACUCCAGCCUAAAGAACAGUCGACAUUAACCUGCAGUGAACACUCGGUCUUUGGUAAAUUCGACGCUUUCUGCGCUCGACUAAGAAAGAUCCUUCGGCUUUACGACGUCAUUGACAAGCACGAAAGUUUGCUGAAAAGCCGCAUGGAGGGUCUGCUGCAAGAAGAAGAAGUGAUGGACGAAAUAUUAAGGAGAUAUCAUGCAGCUGUCAAAGAUAUUACAUCGCGACCUUACGAUUAUUUGAACCACCGGAUGCUUGGUUUUGACCAACACAUGUCGGAAUUCGAAGCCAGGCUCAACGAUCUCAAACUCUACGUUGGCAGUUAUUUGGAGCGUGCUUACGAUCCUGUUUGGGAAACAGCCCAGGCGAUGCGCUUCCUUCAAAAGUUCCAGCGCAUCGGCCGCGUCAUUCCCGUUGUGGCUAUGGAAAUCAAGCACAAUCGCAUUUUGAAUCAAUUGCUAGCCGAUAUGGAUAGACUUGGCAGAGUUCUAGUCAAAUUUGGAGAUGAGCCUCCUAUUCCGAAUAAUUUUUCGCCAACGACAGGGAAAAUGAUGUGGUGCGCAACUUUACAGCGUUGCCUGGAACUCAGGCUUGAAGAACACGCGCCAAUUUUGCACAGCGAAACUGGCCGGCAAGUGUUUCGCAAGUACAAAAAUGUUUUGGUCAACAUCGUUCAGCUCGGCAACUAUCAUCUGCGCUCCUGGACAUUGCUCAGUGCAGCCGAAGUGGAAACAUGUCUAUCUCAGAACAUUUUGACUCCAAACCUUGAGAACCCGCAUUUAUUUUCCGUCAACUUCAAUCCCAAAAUAAUCUCGCUGUUCCAGGAAGUUCACUGCGCCUGUCAAGCCGGGCUUAAAGUUCCGGCAUCAUCCGUUUUUAUUUUCGCUCGUAAAGGAUUACUUUUGAAGAUGAAGGACGAGGCUCAGUACUUGAUAGAAAAUCACAAGUCAUUAUUGGACUCGAUUGAUGCGGAGUUGAAACCGCUUCUCUGCUGUCACGUCCAUCAAUUGUAUUUGACACUCCGUCCGGCCUCGGUGGCACUCAGCUGGAACCUCAAGCAGUCGAAAUGGAACCGUUUCUUUAAUCAGUGCCGCAAAUCGAUGGUGCAUUUUAAACUGCUGUGCCAACGGUUGGAAGACAUUCGCAUCAACCAGCUGGAACGCAUUUUGGAUUCCCUCCGCUAUUUCACGUUGUGCCCGGACAGCAGUAGAGACAGGACUUGGGUGCCUGACGAGUUUAUUGACGCCGUCAAAGAUGCUUGUCGCAAAGCCACUUCGGAAAUUCAGCAAAGGAAUUGGCUUUUAGAAAAUGGAGUCUUUGAAUUAAUCGACCUGAUCAGAGUGAAGGAUGUCAUGAAGUUUUUUGAAAUUCCAACUGAGGCCAUUGCGGCGCAAAUUGAAAAAGGAAGGACGUCAUUUUCUUCAUCCGCCAAAACGGCACGACCGAAAUCGAUAACUAGCGACCGGAAAAAAUCUGAAACCAAUCCGGAUUCGAGUCGCAUCAGUAGCAAAAGUCCGCCAAGUGCUCAAUAUGGAGAGCGAGCGUCAAAGCGCAGGACAAGUAACGGUGGUGAAACUAAUCGAAAUGGAUUGCCACCACUUAAUCCAGCAGGCCCAACCGGCAAACCGCCUCCGGCGCCCAGCAAAACGUCUCAGAUCAGGACAAAACUACCGAAACUCAGCAGCAAAAGAUCAAGUCCAACCAAAGAGCCAAAAAAUCCGCCGACGUGUUUGCCUCCAUUAUCGGCAAGAUCCAAUUCCAGUCUUGCUUCCGGCCAGGAAUUUUCAUCUCGGAAAAACUCGGUCAUAUCAAACGAUGGUCGAGACGAACCCAACGUGAUCCUGGUCGCAGAUUACGGCUUCCUAGUCGUCCAAUUGGAGAAGGCCAUCAUUGAGUGGAAAAAGUUGUACUCUAAAAGGAUCCUCCAGGUUAUCGUCACUUGGCUUCGCUCCCAGAUUGACCAGAUGCGUUACUCGGUUGUCCCGCCACCCAAUCAUAAAAGCGGAGUCGUCCAGCAGCAACACACGGCUCUGUUCUUACUGCAUUCGCAGCUGAAUCACACAACAAUCGAGAUCACUCCGAGUUUGGACGACAUUCAAGACAUUAUUCACACGGCAGGGAAAAUUAUGUUAUGUGUCGCCAAAGGAAUUAAGCGCUGGCAAUAUCGGUCCGCUAUCGAAUCGAGAUCAAAUGUGAUGUCGGCGGUUAGACACAAUAUUUACGUUUCAGUUUCGGAGAAUAAAGAAGUUGUCAAAGGAUUGAAUCUGUUGUCAACAUGCUUGAUUCACGUCAAAAGUACUUGUGGAGAACAAUUGCGCCAGUGGGAGAAUCUCUGCAAGGAGAUUUGCUGCUACAAUCGACGAGUUGUCGUUAAAAAUUUUGUCAACAAGAACCCAUCAGUUUGGGACUGGGAUCAGCAAUUGCGUCAGUUUCGACAGUUGGAAGAUGUCGUUGAAUCACAGAAAAGUCUUCUGGAAUUUGGCCCCAUUCACGUUUCAACGACUAAAAUGCAGGCGACGUUGUUACAAGAAAUUCAAGAAUGGAUGGAAGCCUACACCACCGUCCUGUAUCGAAGGACGUUGCGUGAUAUGGAACGGUUAAUGGUGGUAUUUAAUUUACUAGACAAGAAGCUCGAUCGUAAAAUCCGUGACCUGGAGGACACCAGGAUCUCUAUGGAUUGUCUGCGAGAUAUUCGCAUACAAGAAGUGGAAUUCGAAAUGGCUAUUGAACUUGUUGAGGAAGCGAUUGGAAUCAUGAUGAAAUUUCACGUUCCACUAACUGAAGAAGAUGUCGAACGGGUGGACGCCGUGCGGAUUACUUGGCAUCGAUUGCAGCAGCGCUCGCUGGAUCACCAUUGUCACCUUGUGGCUAUUCAACCCAGUUUCCGACAAGAGUUGCUGGAUAAUUUGACACAAUUCCGUGUCGAUUGCACUCAAUUCUGCGCCGACUACGACGUUGAUGGUCCAAUGAUCCAGGGUCUGUCUCCACGAGAAGCAUCCGACCGUCUACUCCUGUUCCAAAACCGUUUCGAUGCUCUCUGGAGAAGAUUGACAUCAUACGAAGGCGGAGCCGAACUAUUUGGAUUGUUGAUGCCCGAUGUUCCGGAAUUGAACCGCAUCCGCAAGGAACUGAAUUUGCUACAGAAACUCUAUCGAUUGUACAACGACGUUAUCGAUCGCGUUGCAGCCUACCACGACAUUAGCUGGAACAGCGUCAACAUUGAAGACAUAAACAACGAACUCAUCGAGUUCCAGAACCGUUGCCGUAAACUCCCUAAAGGCCUGAAGGAGUGGCCGGCCUUUGGUGCCCUCAAGCGAACCAUUGACGAGUUCUCCGACUUGUGUCCGCUCCUGGAAUUGAUGACCAACAAAGCCAUGAAGCCUCGCCAUUGGGUACGCAUGACCGAGAUCACUGGGCACGUCUUCCACGUCGAACUGGAAGGAUUCUGCUUGCGCCAAGUCGUGGAAGCUCCGCUGUUGCAGCACAAGGAAGACGUUGAAGAUGUUUGCAUUUCCGCUCUCAAGGAGAAGGACAUUGAAGCUAAAUUGCGUCAAGUCACCAACGACUGGACCACGAAUCAAUUGACAUUCACAACAUUCAAAAAUCGCGGGGAAUUGCUACUGCGCGGAGACAGCGCUGCCGAACUCAUAUCCAUGCUGGAAGACUCUUUGAUGGUCCUCAGUUCCCUCUUGUCCAAUCGCUACAACGUCCCGUUCCGGAAGCAGAUCCAGAAGUGGGUGACGGAUCUCUCCAACACCAAUGAAAUCCUGGAGCGCUGGCUGAUGGUCCAGAACUUGUGGGUUUACCUGGAAGCUGUUUUCGUGGGCGGAGACAUCGCCAAACAGCUGCCCAAAGAGGCCAAACGAUUCCACAAAAUCGACAAGUCGUGGCAGAGAAUGAUGGCCCGCGCUCACGAAACGUCCAACGUCGUCAUCUGCUGCGUUGGCGACGAAACGCUCAGCCAACUCCUUCCGCAUUUGCAGGACGAGUUGGAGCUGUGUCAAAAGUCGCUGUCCGGCUAUUUGGAGAAGAAGAGGCUCAGUUUCCCACGUUUCUUUUUCGUUUCCGAUCCUGCCCUUCUCGAAAUUCUUGGACAGGCCUCAGAUUCUCACACCAUUCAAGGCCAUCUCUUGUCCAUCUUUGAUAACACGGCUUGUGUAAGGUUCCACGACCAGGAAUACGACAAAAUCCUGGCCAUCGUUUCUACAGAGGGAGAAUCGAUCGCUUUAGAACAGCCAGUCCGUGCGGAAGGCAGUGUUGAAAUAUGGUUGAUGCGUCUCCUGCAGGAAGCCCACCGUUCCCUGCAUUCCAUCAUCCGCCUGGCCAGUCAGGCCAUUCAAAACACCGAGUUCAAUCUGCUGGAAUUCUUGGCCGCUUUCCCGUCUCAAGUGGGUAUCCUCGGUCUUCAAAUGCUGUGGACUCGCGACGCUGAAUCGGCUCUCGCCCAGUGCCGAUACGACCGCAAAGUGAUGCAAGAAACCAAUUCCAAAUUCCUGGAAGUCCUCAACACCCUCAUCGAGCAAACGACUAAGAAUCUCGACCGACUGGAACGUAUCAAAUUCGAAACGCUCAUCACCAUUCACGUCCAUCAACGUGAUAUCUUUGACCAACUUUGCCGCACUGGCAUCCGUUCCAUCACGGACUUUGAAUGGAUCAAACAGUUUCGGUUCUAUUUUAGAGCCGAGCACGACGAGAUGGCCAUCAGUAUCACGGAUGUGUCAUUCACUUACCAAAAUGAAUUUUUGGGCUGUACUGAGCGGCUGGUCAUCACUCCGUUGACGGAUCGUUGUUACAUCACUUUGGCUCAAGCCUUACACAUGUCCAUGGGAGGUUGUCCAAGCGGUCCAGCUGGAACGGGCAAGACAGAAACUACUAAAGACAUGGGCAAAACACUGGGCAAAUACGUCGUCGUCUUCAACUGCUCCGACCAAAUGGAUUUCCGUGGUCUCGGUCGAAUUUACAAAGGACUGGCCCAAUCGGGAGCUUGGGGUUGUUUCGACGAGUUCAACCGAAUCGAACUGGCCGUUCUCUCAGUGGCUGCCCAGCAAGUCGCUGUCGUUCUCGCCGGCAAAAGAGAAAAGAGGAAACAGCUAAUCUUUACGGACGGCGACACUAUCGAGAUGAAUCCGGAAUUCGGAAUCUUUUUGACGAUGAAUCCCGGCUAUGCUGGACGUCAACAACUCCCCGAAAAUCUCAAGAAUCAGUUCCGUUUCGUCUCCAUGAUGGUGCCCGAUCGACAAAUUAUUAUCCGUGUCAAACUGGCCUCUUGCGGAUUUUUGGAAAAUAUUACACUGGCCCGCAAGUUCUACACUCUCUACAAACUCUGCGAGGAACAGCUGACCAAACAGGUCCACUACGAUUUCGGUUUGCGGAAUAUCUUGUCCGUUUUGCGGACGUUGGGAGCCACAAAGCGCGGAAACGUCCGGGACUCGGAGAGUAUGAUCGUCAUGAGAGUCCUGCGGGAUAUGAAUUUGUCCAAAUUGGUGGACGAGGAUGAGCCGUUGUUCAUGUCGCUCAUCGGCGAUCUGUUUCCAACUACGGCGCUGGAAAAAACGAACUACGCAGACCUUGAAAACGCCAUCAGGGAACAGGUCAAAGCAGCUGGACUCAUUAUGCAUCCCCCUUGGUUGUUGAAAUUGAUCCAGCUGUACGAAACGCAACUUGUAAGACAUGGAAUCAUGACCUUAGGGCCGACCGGCUCUGGAAAAACAGCUUGCAUUCAAAUUUUGAUGAAAUCGCUGACUGCUUGUGGUCAGCCACAUCGAGAACUCCGGAUGAAUCCCAAAGCCAUUUCGGCCGCUCAAAUGUUUGGUCGAUUGGAUGUGGCCACUAAUGAUUGGACUGACGGCAUCUUUUCGGCAUUGUGGCGGAAGACUUUGCGCACUAAAAGAGGUGAACACAUUUGGUUAGUCCUCGACGGACCCGUCGACUCUCUGUGGAUUGAAAAUCUCAAUUCAGUUCUUGACGAUAACCGCACCCUCACGCUAGCCAAUGGCGAUCGAUUGCCCAUGUCACCUUAUUGCAAAAUCAUCUUCGAGCCCCACAAUAUCGACAACGCCUCACCCGCCACAGUAUCCCGAUGUGGAAUGGUGUACAUGAGUUCUUCCGGCUUGGAUUGGCGCCCGUUGCUGGCCGCCUGGCUUUUGAAGAGACCCAAUACUGAAAUGGAAGUCCUUCGAAAUAUUUUCGAAGAAUCUUUUUCGCCAAUCUACCAGUGGAGCCGGCAGAAUUUGAAAUACAUGAUGGACGUCCUGGAAUUCAAUAUUAUCAACCAGGCGCUGUGUCUUUUAGAAGGUUUGAUUCCAAAUGAAGACAAUGAGCAUAAAGAAAGCACCUACGAAAGGUCGUCCUCUGCCCUAGGGCAGGCACCAGACGGCCCUCCACCAGAGAUCCCAGAACUAGCUUUAGAUCUGAAAGUUCUCAAUAACGAUGUUGGCGAGUCGGGAUCAAAAGGUGGAACGACACCUAGAGUCACCCGUCUUCAGCUGGAACGACUUUAUGUCUUCUCAGUGGUCUGGUCUAUCGGCGCCUUCUUGGAGAUUGAGGAUCGAAUUAAAUUAGACGCAUUCCUGACUAUGCAUUUCUCUCAUUUGGCUCUACCUCCCAAGGAACCCGAUAGCGAAGACACUGUCUUCGACUUUGUCGUCGGAAGCGAUGGUGAAUGGGAUCAUUGGAGAAAUCACGUUCAACCAUUCCAAUACCCUGAAACGGCCAUGAUUGAUUUUGCGUCCAUGCUGGUCCCCAAUGUUGACAGCGUCCGCACGGAAUUCCUGUUAAACACCAUCGCCAAACAGGGAAAACCCGUCUUGCUCAUUGGAGAACAAGGAUCGGCAAAGACUGUCAUGAUAAAUGCCUACCUCAAAAAGCACAAGAGCGACUACAACCUUAUCCGCUCUUUGAAUUUCUCAUCGGCCACCACAACGUUCCAACUUCAACGAACUAUCGAAGGGUGUGUGGAUAAGCGAAUGGGCAACACUUAUGGCCCGCCGGCUGGCAAAAAGUUGACCGUUUUUAUCGACGAUGUUAAUUUGCCCUAUGUCAACGAAUGGGGCGAUCAGGCCACCAACGAAAUUGUACGACAAUUACUGGAGAUGAAAGGCUUUUAUUCGUUGGAAAAACCAGGGGAUUUCACCCACAUUAUCGAUCUCCAUUUCGUCGCCGCUAUGAUUCAUCCAGGUGGAGGUCGCAAUGACAUUCCGCAGAGAUUGAAACGACAUUUCUGCAUUUUCAACUGUCCCUUGCCAUCCCACACGUCCAUGGACAAAGUCUUUGGUACCAUCGCUUCCGGUCAUUACUCAAUCAAACGUGGAUUUUCUCAAGAAGUCCGUGAAUUGGUGGAGAAACUCGUACCCCUCACCCGACUUCUUUGGAUGUCAACCAAAGCUAAAAUGUUACCCACUCCAGCUAAGUUUCACUACAUUUUCAACUUGCGCGAUUUGUCUCGCAUUUGGCAAGGAAUGAGCAGCUUCUUGUGCAACGUCAUCGACAACACUAGAGUGCUUAUGGCUGCCUGGAAACACGAAGUCACGCGUGUCAUUGCGGACAGAUUUACCGUUCAGGCGGACAAGGAUUGGUUCGAGAAAGAACUUAUCCAGCAUGUCGCAAAAUACCUGGGCGAUGAAUUCGUCGAAUUCGUCCAAGAGACUCAAUACUUUGUCGAUUUUAUGCGGGACGCUCCCGAACCGACAGGUGAUGAGACGGAAGAAGUUGACAUGGAAUUACCUAAAGUCUACGAGCCCGUCCAGUCAUUCGACGAUCUCCAAGAUCGUCUUAACAUGUUCCUGACCCAAUACAACGAUAUGAUUCGAGGCCACGGAAUGGAUUUGGUUUUCUUCCAAGAUGCUGUCGAACAUUUAAUCAAGAUUUCGCGUAUUCUUCGACAUCCUGGUGGCAACGUCCUUUUGGUUGGAGUCGGUGGAUCUGGCAAACAAUCGCUCACUAAACUGGCUUCCUUCAUAGCCGGAUAUAAAACCUUCCACAUUACCCUGACGAGAUCGUACAACGUCGGUAAUUUCCUGGAGGAUCUCAAAGUUCUUUACAGAACUUGCGGUAUUCAAGGCAAAGGAACGACUUUUAUUUUCACAGACCAAGAUGUCAAGGAAGAGGCUUUCCUGGAGUACCUGAACAGCGUGUUAUCUUCCGGAGUCGUUUCGAAUCUGUUUAACCGCGACGAGCAAGGUGAAAUCAUCUCGGAAUUGAUUCCCAUCAUGAAACGUGAAUUUCCCAAGCGUGAAUUGAAUCAGGAAAAUGUUAUGGAAUAUUUCAUGUCACGAGUCCGACAACAUCUUCACAUCGCCCUUUGCUUUUCUCCGGUGGGAGAGAAAUUCCGUCAGCGGGCGUUCAAAUUUCCCGGCUUGACUUCCGGUUGCACGUUGGACUGGUUCCAACCGUGGCCAAGAGAGGCCCUUGUCGCCGUGGCGCGGCACUUCCUCGCCGAUUUUACCCUUUUGAAUCAAACGGACUUGUUGCACGAAGUGGAGAACGCCCUGGGAUCCAUCCAGGAGAGCGUGGCUGAAACGGCCAAGGAGUAUUUCCAGAGGUUUAGACGAUCGACUCACGUGACGCCCAGGACCUAUUUGAGCUUCCUGUCCAGCUACAAAACGGUUUUCGCCAAUAAAACGAUGGAAAUUGGCGGAAUGUCCACUCGAAUCGAAACGGGUUUGGCAAAACUGCAAGAAGCUUCCGAAACGGUCGAAAAACUCAAAAUGGAUCUAGCGGAAAUGGAGAAAGAAUUGGCCCUGGCUUCCGAAACGGCCGAAACGGUUUUGGUUGAAGUGACGCAUCGAGCCCGUGAAGCAGAAACGACCAAAAAUCACGUCUUGCUGGCCAAAGAUCGAGCACAGCAGCUGGUCGACGUCAUUGCGGCUGACAAAGCCGUGGCCGAACAGAAACUGGAAGCCGCCCGUCCUGCUCUAGAGGAAGCGGAAGCAGCCCUGAAUACCAUCAAACCAGCUCACAUAGCCACCGUGCGUAAAUUGGGUAGACCUCCGCCACUCAUUAUGAGAAUCAUGGACGCCGUGUUGAUCCUGUUCCAGCGUAAAAUCCAACCCGUUUGCCAUGAACCAGCUAUGGGAGGAUUUAAACCUUCCUGGAACGAAUCCCUCAAGAUGAUGGCCAGCACGAGUUUCCUGCAGCAAUUGCAAUAUUUCCCGAAAGAUUCCAUAUCGGACGAAACUGUGGAACUUCUCGAGCCAUACUUCCGGGACGAAGAGUACAACAUUGACACAGCCAAACGCGUUUGCGGUGACGUUGCAGGAUUACUUUCCUGGUCUCGAGCCAUGGCUUUUUUCUUUACAGUCAACAAAGAAGUGUUGCCACUAAAAGCAAAUUUGGCUCUGCAAGAAGUUCGAUUGUCGGCCGCCAUGUCGGAGUUGGCCAAGGCGGAAGACGUUCUGUCCGAGAAAGAGAGAGCCCUCGAUUUCGUGACGUCUCAAUACGAUUCGGCCAUGGCGGAUAAGAGGCGCUUGACGGAAGCGGCCGCAGUUUGCCGCAGGAAGAUGGGCAUUGCCGCUGCGUUGAUUAGCGGACUGAGUGGAGAGAAACUUCGCUGGACUUUGCAAUGCCGAGCCUUUAAAGAACAAAUCGGCCGCUUGGUAGGCGACGCCAUUCUAGCAACCGCUUUCCUCUCUUACGCCGGACCGUUCAACCAAGAAUUCCGGACGAAAAUUUUCCAGGCCUGGAAGAAAACUCUGAAAAAUCGGGACAUCCCCUUCACGCCAACCCUCAAUGUUGCCCAAAUGAUGUCCGACACGGUCCAGCAAACCGAGUGGACGCUUCAGGGUUUGCCCAGCGAUGACCAUUCCAUCCAGAACGCGGUUAUCGUCGUCCGUUCGCAUUCGUACCCGCUUUUGAUCGAUCCUCAGGGCCAAGGCAAGAACUGGAUCAAAGCCAAAGAAGGGAUGAAUGAAUUGCAAACGACUUCGCUCAAUCACAAAUACUUCCGGACGCAUUUAGACGACGCUCUCUCCCUUGGCCGGCCAUUGUUAAUCGAAGACGUCGGCGAAGAAUUAGAUCCCGUUUUGGAUAAUCUACUGAACAAGAAUUUUAUCCGGGCCGGUUCGACAGAAAAGGUCAUUAUUGGUGACAAGGAUUGCGACAUUAUGCCCGGCUUCACUCUCUACAUCACCACCAAAUUACCCAAUCCAGCCUACACUCCGGAAGUGAGUUCCAAGGUGACCAUGAUCGAUUUCACGGUGACUCAGCGCGGAUUGGAGGAUCAGCUGCUGGCCCGGGUCGUCUCCGCCGAACGCUCUGACCUGGAAGCCGAGCGGACGAGUUUGUUCGAGUCGGUGAUGGAAAACAAGCGACUCAUUCAGCAGCUGGAAGACAAUCUGCUCUUCCGGCUGACUUCCACCGUGGGUAGUUUGAUCGACGACGAGGAUCUGCUGAUUGUCCUUCACGACACCAAGAUGACAGCCCAGGAAGUCAACCACAAACUGGUCGUUUCAUCCGAGAUGGAACACAAAAUCAACACGGCUCGCGAAGAAUUCCGUCCAGUGGCCACUCGAGGAUCGAUCCUCUACUUCUUGAUCGUGGAAAUGUCCCACGUCAACGUCAUGUACCAGACGAGUUUGAAGCAGUUCCUGCAUCUCUUCGACGGAUCGCUCAGCAAAUCCAUGAGGACGCCCAACAUCCUGGAACGGGUCAGUUCGGUCCUCAACACCCUCAACCGGGAAGUGUGGGCCUACACUUUGCGGGGCCUUUACGAGCAACACCAGUUCCUUUUCACCCUCUUGAUGGCCAUCAAAAUCGACCUGCACAACGGCUCCAUCAGCCACGCCGAAUUCAUGAAAUUGAUUAAAGGCGGAGCCUCGUUGGAUCUCAACACAGCCCCGCCCAAACCGUACAAAUGGAUCCUGGACGCCGUUUGGCUCAAUUUGGUCGAACUGAGCACGCUCCACCCUUUCACCGAUCUCCUGCAACAGGUGCUGGAAAAUGAGCGCGAGUGGCGAUCCUGGGUGGAAAAGGAGAAACCGGAGCAAGAGGAAAUCCCGUGCGGCUAUACCAAAGCCCUGGCCGGAAUUGCUUUCCGGAAGCUUUUGCUCAUCCGCUCGUGGUGUCCCGAUCGGAUGUUGCAGUCGGCUCAGAACUACGUCAUCCAUUCGUUGGGAAAUCAAUUUAUUGACUCUCCUUUGCUGGACUUGGAGGUCAUGUGGAGCGAAUCCGAGCCCAGGGUUCCGCUCAUUUGCAUUUUGACCACUUGUUCCGAUCCUUCACAGAAGAUUGAGCAUUUGGCACGUCAAAAAGAUAUCGAGAUCAAAGCCCUGUCCAUGGGUCAAGGCCAGGAGAUUCACGCCAGACGUUUGCUGGCCGAUUCCAUGUCGACUGGACACUGGUUACUCCUUCAAAAUUGCCAUUUGAAUUUAGCCUUUUGUCACGAGCUCCUAGAGUCCUUGAUGGAAGGUGAUGUCCAUGCGGGAUUCCGGCUGUGGAUCACUACCGAAGUGCAUCCGCAAUUCCCGAUUAGUUUACUCCAAACGGCCAUCAAAUUCACGAACGAACCGCCGCAAGGAAUCCGCGCUUCGAUGAAACGGACGUUGACCGAUGUCCCGCAGGAUCUGCUCGACUAUUCGCCGUCACCCUCCUGGCCAACGCUCGUUUACACUGUGGCUUUCCUGCACACGGUGCUGAUGGAACGUCGUAAAUACGGGCCGCUUGGCUGGAAUACUCAGUACGAGUUCAACCAGUCGGAUUUGAACGGGGCCAUCCAGUGCGUUCAGAAUCACCUGGACGACAUGGAUCCUAGGAAGGGUAUUUCAUGGCCGACUAUUUGCUUCAUGAUUGGAGAAGCCCAAUACGGUGGCCGGGUGACGGAUGAUUUUGACAAGCGGCUGCUAUUAACGUUCACUUCUCUGUGGUUUAGCGACCGGAUCCUUGCAGCUGGUUUCGAAUUUUAUCAGAAUUAUACGUUGCCCUCCGGAGUGAAUGCCAAGAGUAUUGGUGGAUGCCUGGAUCAUGUCGCCAAUUUACCUGCAACAGACUCCCCUCUGAUUCUAGGACUGGACUCUAACGCUGAAAUCACUUACCAAAUGAACAGAGCGCAAGCUAUCCUGGACACGAUUCUCUCCAUCCAGCCGAAAGAAGGCGGCAACAUACGCGGAAGUGACACGAGAGAGUCGGUAGUCUAUCGCUUGGCUGACGACAUGUUGGAAAAAAUGCCCAGAAACUAUGUCGACCAUGAAGUCAGGGAAUCCCUCAACAGGAUGGGUCCCUUACUGCCCAUGGCCAUUUUCCUUCGCCAGGAAAUCGAUCGAAUGCAACGGGUCAUUCUGACGGUGCGCAAAGUGUUGCUGGAUCUCAAACUGGCCAUUGAGGGAACCAUCAUCAUGUCACCGCAUCUUCUUCAAGCGAUGGACGCCAUGUACGACGCCAGAGUGCCGGAAAUGUGGAAGGGCAUCUCUUGGGAGAGCUCGACGUUGGGUUUCUGGUUCACCGAAUUCCUGGAACGUAACACCCAGUUCACUCGAUGGGUUUUCCAGGGGAAACCUAAAGUCUUUUGGAUCGCCGGAUUUUUUAAUCCGCAAGGCUUCUUGACGGCUAUGCGACAGGAAGUGACGAGAGCGCAUCGAGGCUGGGCCCUCGAUUCCGUCGUGUUGCAAAGUGUGAUAACUCGAUUGAGUAAAGAGGAGGUGACGGACCACCCCUCAGAAGGAGUUUAUAUUCACGGAAUGUACCUGGAGGGCGCCUCACUCGACCGCAAAACGGGCAGGCUGGUGGAAACGAAAGGCAAGAUCCUUUACGAGCCGAUGCCCGUCAUUUACGUCUACGCCAUCAAUUCGACGGCUGGCAAGGAUCCCAAAUCGUACGAAUGUCCCAUCUACCGCAAGCCCAUCCGUUCCACGACGACUUACAUCGGCUCCAUCGAUCUGGAAACGGAUGUCAAUCCCAAACAUUGGACACUACGGGGCGUGGCUCUCUUGUGUGAUAUCAAAUAAGACCUACCCAAAUUUUUAGAACAAUUAAAAUUAUUAUUAAUUCCGCUUCGUAGUGGAUGUGUCUGACAAAAUUAUAAACUGCUACGAAACAAAUUCCAGUCGUCUUAUUUAUUCCUCAUUUUUUUAUUUUUUUCGCCCGAACGAAGCUGUAUACGGCGGAAUUGUUUUCGAUGGCUUCUCAAUGACAUGACUCUAAGCUUCUUGUCACACUUGUAGUUUCGGCGCAUUCAAUUGGAUUUGCCGCGCAGGCCAUA
rnacentral:misc_RNA from 1 species